GCACCCCCUAGUAGUAACAGUUGCAUUGGGGUUUUAAAAAAGAAACACUUGGUUUGGAAUUAUUUUGAGGUUGCAUGAUUUUUAUUUACAUCUUCUGAGUGCAGGGAAUAGAAAAGAUAAUGUAAACACACACAUCCAAGACAAAUAGACUUUCACUUCCUUUUUCCUGUUCACCCAAACUAACCCAGACUAAGGCUGGGGGUGCAGUUAGCUGAUAAAAUAUAAGAGCUGCCAGGUGCAUAAAAUCUAUUGUUUUGCUACCCAUCUCACAGAUGUAGCUGAGGGACUACUGAUGGGUGGAAUCAGGGUGUUGAUACCAUCUGUUCCAGGCCAAGUGGUACCAUCAAUCAGCAGUGUUCAUAAGAAACCCAAAGUGUUGUGAAAAUGACAACAGGCAGGAAUUACCAUGUUUUUUGGACUAUAAAACACACCGGUGUAUCGGUUACGCCAAGAUUUCUCUAAGUGCUGUAGGAAGUCAGCAUCCCGCCCCUCUGCUAGAAGAAUGAAAUAUUCUAGGAAAUAUUAAAAAGGCAGAAUACCUCCCUGGAUGAGAAAAGAAGAAACAUG